rnacentral:rRNA from 1 species
CGUGAGCGUGCUAAGGUAGCGUAUAUAUUAGCCUUUUAAUUGGAGGCCAGUGAAUGGCAAGACUAGGAACACCUUUAUUUUAUAUAUCAAAAAAAUUUUUCAUCUAAGUGAAAAGACUUAGAUAGCAAAGGAAGACGAAAAGACCCCGCGGAGCUUUACCUCUUCUUAUACUUCCGUAUACCCACUUAAAUGUAUUAAAGGUUUGAUUGGGGCAAUCUUGGAACUAACAAAGCUUCCAACUAUUAAAAAAUCCUAUCUAAAACUUAGUAAGGACCAAAAAGAAGCUACCCCGGGGAUAACAGCGUAAUCUAACUUAAGAUGUACAUAUCGAAAGUUGGGUUUGCGACCUCGAAUGUUGGCUUAAGGAUAUCCACAUUAGUGCAACCGCUAUGAUAGGACAGUCUGUUCGACUAUUAUACCCUUACUACGAGCUGAGUUAAGACCUGGCGCGAAGCUUAGGUUGGUUUCUUAUCUCCAUUUAAAUAAACUGUCUUCUUAAUUGUACGAAAGGAC